AGUUUUAGGAGCUGCUGUUGCUGUGGAUUAAUAUGCAAGAACUGAAACUUGUAAGACUCUUUCCAAAGCACAAACUGUACUCUUCUCUGUUCCCUGUGAUUUAGGAAUGAUGCAGUCUUGUGGAAGGCAAGUCAAUGGAAGAAAGCUACGGUGUUUGAUGAUGGAUACUGAAUACUUGCAAAUCUACACUUUGUAGGAAGAACAGAAUGCAGGUGUAUGGUCACAGACCCCAGCCGGAAUGGCUUAGAUUUGGGCUGCCUUCAAUCUGGGAGUUGUUUUGCUGAGCACUGACCCCAACCAAGUUUCAUCCUUCCUCCCCUGCUGCCUGAUUUUACAAGACUGAUGAACACAGGUAGAUUUCCAGUCACAUAUAUCCAUUCUGCUGGAACCUGCUGCUCCUUGCAAGUAGAUGAAGUGAAGAUUUAUUAUCAUCAGAACACAUGGAAAUUAGAAAAUGGACUAAUGGAAACCAUUAAUGCCUCCUCUCAACAAUCAGAUGAAUGGUGGAUCAAUGCAGUAUAUUAAUGGAUUGGAAAUGAUUUAAGACAAUAUAAACAUUAAGUCCCAGAUAUUAGAUAGAAAGAAAGUGUCUUGCUCCAAUAAUCUCUUACAGAAAGCAAGCAAAACUAAGAUAUUACUCUAUUAUAUAUAUGAAAAAAAGUAAAAUACCAUCCUCUAAGAUGUAUUUCCUGACCAGUAUUUUGAUUUCUUUGGAGAGAUAAUAUUGAAAAAUAUCUUUAUUCUGUAUCUUUCUAUAUUACCACCUUACACUGAAAUGAAACUGCCUUUCUACUUACAAAAGCAAAUAAUACUGUAAGCCUGUAACAAUAAAUAAAUCCUGUGUCAAAUAUUCUAUGAAUAA
rnacentral:lncRNA from 1 species